AACUCUGUUGUUAGGGAAGAACAAUUGCUAGUUGAAUAAGCUGGCACCUUGACGGUACCUAACUGGAAAGCCACGGCUAACUACGUGCCAACAGCCGCGGUAAUACGUACGUGGCAAGCGUUAUCCGGAAUUAUUGGGUGUAAAGCGCGCGCAGGUGGUUUCUUAAGUCUGAUGUGAAAGCCCACGGAUCAACCGUGGANGGUCAUUGGAAACUGGGAGAGUUGANUGCAGAACAGGAAAGUGGAAUUCCNUGUGUAGCGGUAAAAUGCGUANAGAUCUGAAGGAACACCAGUGGCGAAAGCGACUUUCUGGUCCGUAACUGACACUGACGCGAUUGAGCGUGGGGAGCAAACAUGGUUAGAUACCCUGGCAGUCCACGCCCUAAGCAUGACUGCUAAGUGUUAGAGGGUUUCCGCCCUUUAGUGCUGAAGUUAACGCAUUAAGCACUCCGCCUGGGGAGUACGGCCGCAAGGCUGAAACUCA
rnacentral:rRNA from 1 species